AUUGAACGCUGGCGGCAGGCCUAACACAUGCAAGUCGAGCGGAUGAGAGGAGCUUGCUCCUUGAUUUAGCGGCGGACGGGUGAGUAAUGCCUAGGAAUCUGCCUGGUAGUGGGGGAUAACGUCCGGAAACGGGCGCUAAUACCGCAUACGUCCUACGGGAGAAAGCAGGGGACCUUCGGGCCUUGCGCUAUCAGAUGAGCCUAGGUCGGAUUAGCUAGUUGGUGAGGUAAUGGCUCACCAAGGCGACGAUCCGUAACUGGUCUGAGAGGAUGAUCAGUCACACUGGAACUGAGACACGGUCCAGACUCCUACGGGAGGCAGCAGUGGGGAAUAGUUGACAAUGGGCGAAAGCCUGAUCCAGCCACGCCGCGUGUGUGAAGAAGGUCUUCGGAUUGUAAAGCACUUUAAGUUGGGAGGAAGGGCAGUAAGCUAAUACCUUGCUGUUUUGACGUUACCGACAGAAUAAGCACCGGCUAACUUCGUGCCAGCCGCCGCUGUAAUAC
rnacentral:rRNA from 1 species